AGAACCUUACCAGCUCUUGACAUGCCCGGUAUGGGCGGGAGAGAUCCCGUCCUUCGGUUCGGCCGGCCGGGACACAGGUGCUGCAUGGCUGUCGUCAGCUCGUGUCGUGAGAUGUUGGGUUAAGUCCCGCAACGAGCGCAACCCCCAUCUGCAGUUGCCAGCGGUUUGGCCGGGCACUCUGCAGAAACUGCCGGUGACAAGCCGGAGGAAGGCGGGGAUGACGUCAAGUCCUCAUGGCCCUUAUGGGCUGGGCUACACACGUGCUACAAUGGCGGUGACAGAGGGCGGCAACGGGGCGACCCGGCGCCAAUCUCCAAAAGCCGUCUCAGUUCGGAUUGCUCCCUGCAACUCGAGAGCAUGAAGUCGGAAUCGCUAGUAAUCGCGGAUCAGCAUGCCGCGGUUAAUACGUUCCCGGGCCUUGUCACACCGA
rnacentral:rRNA from 1 species